rnacentral:misc_RNA from 1 species
GAUGAAGAACGUAGCGAAAUGCGAUAAGUAAUGUGAAUUGCAGAAUUCAGUGAAUCAUCGAAUCUUUGAACGUACAUUGCGCCCCUUGGUAUUCCGAGGGGCAUGCCUGUUCGAGCGUCAUUAUAACCCCUCAAGCUCAGCUUGGUGUUGGGGCCUGCUGCACUGGCAGCCCUUAAAAUCAGUGGCGGCGCCAUCUGGCUCUAAGCGUAGUAAUUCUUCUCGCUAUGGAGUCCUGGUGGAUGCUUGCCAUCAACCCCCAAUUUUUCUAUGGUUGACCUCGGAUCAGGUAGGGAUACCCGCUGAACUUAAGCAUAUCAAUAAGCGGAGGA